GCGAAGAACCCUUACCCAGGGCUGACAUUGAGUGAAAGGCAUUGGAAACAUGUCCCCCUCUUCGGAGGCACGAAAACAGGUGGUGCAUGGCUGUCGUCAGCUCGUGCCGUGAGGUGUUGGGUAAGUCCCGCAACGAGCGCAACCCCUGCCCCGUGUUGCCCAGCAAGGUAAAAGCUGGGGACUCGCGGGGGACUGCCGCGGAGAACGCGGAGGAAGGCGGGGAUGACGUCAAGUCAUCAUGCCCCCUUAUGUCCUGGGCUACACACGUACUACAAUGGGAUGGACAGAGGGAAGCGAAGGAGCGAUCCGGAGCGGACCCCGGAAAGCAUCCCCCAGUUCGGAUUGCAGGCUGCAACCCGCCUGCAUGAAGUCGGAGUCGCUAGUAAUCGCAGGUCAGCAUACUGCGGUGAAUACGUUCCCGGGCCUUGUACACACCGCCCGUCACACCACGGAAGCCGUUCACGCCCGAAGCCGGGGUCAAACCUGUCGAAGGCAG
rnacentral:rRNA from 1 species